rnacentral:tRNA from 1 species
GGAGGGGUGGCCGAGCGGCUGAAGGCGGCGGUCUUGAAAACCGCUGUCCGCUUACGCGGACCGUGGGUUCGAAUCCCACCCCCUCCGCCA